CGCCGCAACAGCUCAAAUUUGAAAUCUGCCUCUGAGGUCCGAGUUGUAAUUUGUAGAAGGUGCUUCGGAUGUAACAAUGGUACAAGUCCUUUGGAAUUGGGCGUCAUAGAGGGUGAUAACCCCGUUUGUGACCGCUUUGUUCAUCCAUGUGAAGCCCUUUCGACGAGUCGAGUUGUUUGGGAAUGCAGCUCAAAAUGGGUGGUAGACUUCAUCUAAAGCUAAAUAUCAGCCAGAGACCGAUAGCGCACAAGUAGAGUGAUCGAAAGAUGAAAAGCACUUUGAAAAGAGAGUCAAACAGCACGUGAAAUUGUUGAAAGGGAAGCGCUAGCCACCAGACUUGCUUGUAUUGUUCAGCCUCCUGAAAAGGUGGUGUAUUCUUUACUUGCAGGCCAGCAUCGGUUUCGACGGUCGGAUAAAAACUUAUGGAAAGUAGCUUUCCUUCGGGAGAGUGUUAUAGCCUGAGUACAAUGCGACCAGUUGGGACCGAGGAACGCGCUUUUGCUCGGAUGUUGGCAUAAUGGUUGUUAGCGACCCGUCUUGAAACACGGACCAAGGAGUCGACCAAUUAAGCGAGCGUUAGGGUGUAAAACCCACGGCGCGUAAUGAAAGUAAACGUAGGUGGGAAGCCUUUGGCAGCACCAUCGACCGAUCUGAGUUCGCGAGGAUUUGAGUAUGAGUUUCAUUGGUCGGACCCGAAAGUCAGUAUACUCUUUCCCCUUUAAACUGAAGCAAAAUACUAACGAUUCUCUAGGAAGGUGAACUAUUCCCGAAUAGGUUGAAGUCAGGUGAAAACCUGAUGGAAGACCGCAGCGGUUCUGACGUGCAAAUCGAUCGUCAAAUUUAGGAAUAGGGGCGAAAGACUAAUCGAACCUUCUAGUAGCUGGUUCCUGUCGAAGUUUCCCUCAGGAUAGCAGCAACGAUAAACAGUCUCAUGAGGUAGAGCAACGAUUAGAGGCCUUGGGGUUGAAACAACCUUAACCUAUUCUCGAACUCCGAAUAUGUGAGAAGUCCUUGUUACUUAAUUGAACGUGACAUUGGGAUGUACGUUGCUAGUGGGCCAUUUUGGUAGGCAGAACUGGCGA
rnacentral:rRNA from 1 species